UUGAACGCUGGCGGCAUGCCUUACACAUGCAAGUCGAACGGCAGCACGGGAGCAAUCCUGGUGGCGAGUGGCGAACGGGUGAGUAAUAUAUCGGAACGUGCCCAGUCGUGGGGGAUAACGUAGCGAAAGCUACGCUAAUACCGCAUACGAUCUAUGGAUGAAAGCGGGGGAUCGCAAGACCUCGCGCGAUUGGAGCGGCCGAUAUCAGAUUAGGUAGUUGGUGAGGUAAAGGCUCACCAAGCCGACGAUCUGUAGCUGGUCUGAGAGGACGACCAGCCACACUGGGACUGAGACACGGCCCAGACUCCUACGGGAGGCAGCAGUGGGGAAUUUUGGACAAUGGGCGCAAGCCUGAUCCAGCAAUGCCGCGUGCAGGAUGAAGGCCUUCGGGUUGUAAACUGCUUUGUACGGAACGAAACGGUGAGCUCUAAUACAGUUUGCUAAUGACGGUACCGUAAGAAUAAGCACCGGCUAACUACGUG
rnacentral:rRNA from 1 species